UGAUUCCGGUGACAUUGCCUUUUUAUUUUAGAUAUGUUGACGAUAUUCUUUUGGAUAACAUAUUGCACAUUUUUAAUUCGUUCCAUCCUCGUAUAUCUACAUAUCAUUUCUACAAGAACACAUUAUUCGAAAACUGUUAUUUUACUUUCCCACUUCAGAUGAUUUCAUGUCCUGCAUAUAACGAGCAAUAAGAUGAUUUCCGUCAGGCGUAAAAGCAAGUGCAUUUAUAAAUCCUGGUAUUUUAACUUCAAACAGCGGAUUUAACGAUCUAAAUGCUUCGCCGCAUUGCCACAGUUUAAUGCUGCCGUCUCGCGAACCUAAAGAUCAAAACAAUUGAAGAAAAAUACGGGUAAACGCUAAUAACUAUAAUAACUAUACUAUCUCUACAUAAUAACGUACCUGAUGCCACUAAAUCUGUAUUUAAUAAUGCUGCAAUGCUUGAAAUCCACAGCGCUUGGUUAUUAGUUUCAUCCUUCCCAUGCGCCUCCGUCACAGUGCACAACGGUUUCUUCUUUAAAGAGCUCCAGACGCAGAGUUGUCCGUCGCUGCCACAGCUGAAGAAAUUUUCCUCAUUAAUGAGUUUAACCUCGUCGAUGGAAUUAUUGCUAUGUCCAUUGAAUAUCAGUUGCGAUUCUUCGACUAUUUUCCAUAUCCUGAUACUACUAUCGAAACCGCUUGUGACGGCACGCUCUCGUGAGAGCGCAUCGAUGGACGUGAUGCCACCCUGAUGUCCAAAGCUGUAAAGAAAAAUAUAAUGGUUAGAAAGAAACUAUUUGAAAAUACUAACGAUAAAAAUGCAUGCACAGUCAUGUUUGCAAAUACAAUCGCUCACAAAGAUUCAACAUAAGCCAUAUCAUCCAGGUUCCAAACUUUUAUACUCCUAUCAGUAGAAGCAGAGUACAAAGUGUGAGUGUUCUUGCGAAAUACCAAUCCAGACACAGAACCUCUAUGACCUUGUAGAUUUUUUAUAUGUUUCAAAGUGUUGCCACAAAGUACUUUUAUAUCAUUACAAUCCCUAUCUCCUACAACCUGCAAUAAGAAAAGAUUUAAAUAUUAAUCUAUUGCACACAGUGUGAAGUAAAAGAUAACUCAUUCUUAGACUCACCAGAAAUUUUCCAUCUGUGCUAAUUGCUAAACACUGUAUGUAAUGGCUCAAAGUAACUUCUGUUUUUACUUUUUUCCCUUUAAGGGCUAUUAAUUUAGAAUGUGUUUUUAAUGACCCUAAAAACAGCAUUGAUUAUAAAAAUAAUUCUAAAGAUACACAAACAUAUAUAUAAUUCAUUCAUAUUUUUAAAAGUAAACUGUCUCAAAUAUCUAUAUAUUUAAUAAUCUUAAAUGUAAACAUUUAAAAUAAACUUACAUUUAACUAUACUCCCAUCUUUAGCUCCAGAGUACAAUACACUUCCAUCACUUAAGAGACAUAUACAGGUAAUGGAUGUUUUGUGCUCUUUACAUUUUAAUGAGAUAAGAUCCUUGUGACCAAUGUAACAUAUUGCUACAGUUUUCCUUAAUCGACCUUUCUCUUCUAAAUAUUCUUUGUGUAAUCUUUGUGAAACAGCACCUUCUUCAAAUUCUGCUCUAUCUUUUUCUAUAUAUUAUAGGAAAUUAUUUUAAUAUGUAAACACAUUAUUUUUCCCAAAUUUUUGUAAAUAAAACAUAAGAAUAUUCUGUUUUGAACUAUUAUA